rnacentral:rRNA from 1 species
AGAUUGAACGCUGGCGGCAGGCCUAACACAUGCAAGUCGAGCGGCAGCACGGGUACUUGUACCUGGUGGCGAGCGGCGGACGGGUGAGUAAUGCCUAGGAAUCUGCCUGGUAGUGGGGGAUAACGCUCGGAAACGGACGCUAAUACCGCAUACGUCCUACGGGAGAAAGCAGGGGACCUUCGGGCCUUGCGCUAUCAGAUGAGCCUAGGUCGGAUUAGCUAGUUGGUGGGGUAAUGGCUCACCAAGGCGACGAUCCGUAACUGUCUGAGAGGAUGAUCAGUCACACUGGAACUGAGACACGGU